UUCAGAAAUCCGUAAAAGUGAUUAUCUUACCAUGUACUGUGAUUUAUUAGCAAUACGUCUUGUUUUGUGUGUGUGUGCUAAGCACGGCCCCUGCCCCGCAGAGCUCCAUGCAAUAGGAAACUGAGCGACGACCAGAGCUAACCAAUAGCGUUAGACCAGGGGUCGGCAACCCGCGGCUCUUCCAUCCAUCGGAUGCGGCUCUCUGUGCUUGUAAAAUAAUGAAUGGAUAUUUAAAUAAAAAGCUUUAUAUUUUACUGCAUUAAUUUUACAUCUGUAUGCCAAUUCUAAAUGUAAAGAUUGUCUGCGUAAACCUGAACAGGUCCAACCCGGUCUUACUGUGUGACCGGGUUGACGAGUCACGCUUGUGCGUAAUCAUAUAGGUGCUUUCUGAGCUGACGAGGAUGUGAGAUUCUGGGAUUCUCCUCAGCCAGGCUCCUGGAUGUGUCGCCACAUUGGAGACAGGAACAAGCACUAUUCAGCCAAAGUUUCAUAAUCAGGGAACAUUUUCUAAGUGACAAGUCUCGCUUCAGUCGGAGGAAUCUUCCUGCAUGCGCUCUGGUUCUGCGACGCGCUCCAAGCCCCUCUCCACAUCUUCAGCUCGCUGUGCACCUUAUGUACACGCUGACAGUGAGCUGCGCUGAGCGGUGUCCAGCUCAGAUGUUCAGAUGGGAAUCUUUUCUUGAGUGAUUUAGCUACAUCUGCGAUGUGCGAAACGAAUAAAAUGUCAGUUCGUCUGCAUGCGUCGGGGUAAUUCUUUCUAUUCUUUCUCCGUCAAAAUAAACGGUCAAAUACGGGAACUGUCCGGUCAACACAACACAAGCCCUGCUUUUGACUGUUCUGUUUUCUUGUGAAAAUUGUUGCAAAGAGAUAAAAUUAAACUUGAUUAACACCAGAGCCAGGCGCACUGCGCCGUUGUCUCUGUCACUGUAAAUGAGGGAAACAAAUUGAUUGGAUCCUUUUCUGACCUUCCCCACCUACAAAGUUUAAUUACAACAAUCAAAUGUGACAGAGCCUGGAUUUGUAUUCUGAACAGUCUAAACAUGUUUAAAAGAAACGUAUGACAAAAGUGGCACCUGCUCAGUAAAACCACCAACAGGGUGAAAAAUAUCAAAAUAUUGUAGGCAGAGACGGGCUACAACUUCUGGAUCCACUUAUAUAAAUCGUUUUAUUGAUUAUCUUUUUAUGAAAGAUAACUUUGACGUGCACGAGCGACCGGUACUGGCUGCUGUCACCUGUUGUGAUCUGUUAAAGCAGCUCUCUGCUGUCUGAGGGUAGGCCCCGCCCACAACGCCGCAGCUGCUGUGGCUCCCAGUGUUGUCUUUACUGUGGGAAACAGGUAAUAAUGGCUCUUUGAUGGGAACAGGUUGCCGACCCCUGCGUUAGACUAUCGCUUACUUCAUGUUUAAGGAAUACCUCAGCUGAUGCAGAGUUGAUGAACUUUUCACGGACAAGUAAGUCUCUAAAAUAUAAAUAUAUGAAAACACAACAUGACAUGAGAAUAAUACUUGUAAAACAAUGUGUUCGCUCCGUUUGUUGACUACAGAAGCACAUAAAUAAACAAGAAAUGUGAAGUCGCCAUCUUAAAAAAAACAGAAGGGCUGUGUCUCAAUUCAGGGUCUGCAUCCUACGUCGGCCGGAUUCGUCGGCCGGUUACGUCACAGCGCCGCGACUCGGCCUGUCCCAAUUCGAAGACUCCUUCAAAUGCGGUCGACGAAUGCGGCCUUCUUUUCGCCUGAAUGAAGGAUGGGUCGGGUGUAUCCUUCAAUAGGUAGCAUUUCCCAAGAUGCCUUGCGGGCCGGCCAGCAGAAAAACUUAAAAACAAUGGCGGACAGUGAAGCGGGAGCUGUCGGAGAGGAUUGCGCAUAUAAAUGUCAGUAUAAACUUGAAAACUGUUAGGUUAAGGACUUUUUGUGAUACUGAACGUUAUUUUAGUUUGAAAUGUUACAGUAAAAGUGCUUGUAUUGCGGUCUCGGCUCGUAUGUUCGGCCGCUCGGUGUCGUACUUCUCCCGCUACGUUUCCCCCCUGAUUUUAAUAGAAGUUUGUAUUUUAGGAACAAAAGAGAAAACCAGGGAAUUUAUUAAGCUUUGGGCGGUGAUGGACCACAUGAUCACCGGAGCAAAGUAUUCGGCGGCUGUGGCAUGGAGACUAUUCUGGAGAAAAUGGGCAUCCAGGGGAAGGUGCCAGCGAUGACCAGCUUCUGGAGCUGAUCAGGGAGGACAUGAGGCUGCAGAGGGAGGCAGAGCAGCAGAGGGCACAGGAGAGAAGGAAGAACUUUGACAGCUUUUUACUUUGCUAGAAAAAAAUGGUUAAUAAAGAUUAAACAUGUACAUAUAAAAGAAAUAUCUAAAUAAAAUCAGUUCUGCAUUAAA